AUGGAUUUUUUGAUGACAGAUCCAACAUAUAAACUUCUUAUCUUUUUAUUCAUGAUACCAGGAAUGUACGGAGAUAUUAUAAAUUAUAAUGCUGCCACAAUUGCUGUGGAGGGACAGAACAUCAGCCUGCAGUGCAUUGUGGGAGAGGAGCAAAACAUCACAAUUAUCCAGCUGGAAUGGAUUAAACAGCAAAAACCAAAUGAGAAGAACGAUCAGAAGAUUGUUGUGUUCCAUCCUAUGUUGCCAACAUAUUAUUUUCGAUCCGGUUCUCUUCUGGAGACAGUGACCAGUUCAAAAACUGGGAAGCUGCAGGGCUCAAUCCUGACUCUGCAUGAAGUUACAGUGAAUGACAGUGGAAAUUAUAUUUGCGAAAUUACUUCUUAUCCCAAUGGCUCAAUUAAAAGAAUCACAAAGCUGCAAGUGACAGAGCCUCCAGCAUCAGUGAGGAUGCCAUAUCCAUAUGGAUUCAUAAAAGAGGGGGAUGAUAUGAAAAUAACUUGUUCAGCGAUCCCUCCACCACUCCAUUAUAAACUUGGAAGGUCAAAGGACCAGACAUUUUGGCUGGAAAGCUCAAACGGAGAGUUCAUUUUACCAAACGUCACCAGAAAUGACAGCGAUGUGUACAUCUGUUUACCUGAAUGGGACUCAUUAGUCCGAAAUCAGCAAGGUCUCAAUGCCACCGUCGAACUGACUGUGAAUUUUCUUGAUGGCAUUGAGUGUAACACAAGCAGCCCUUUAAACGUCAGCGCUGGUGAGGAUGUAGCGAUUUCUUGUAUCGCAAAAGCUUCACAGCACUUGCAGUAUAAGUGGAUGAGGGGUGACAAAAUACUGUCUCUCUCAGACACUUUGUCUCUGACCUCCGUAACAUCUGACCAGUCAGGAACAUACAAACUGACAGCUGUCUUUCUGGACAAUCAACUCCAGACAGACAUGGAGAUUUUUAUCCAGGUUCUCUCAAAGCAAAGUGAAGGAAUGACAACUCCUUUCCCAGUAAGGACCACCAAACAUCUGAGCAGCUUUACCUCCAAUGGGACCAGCUCAUGGAGCACUGAUACCACUGUGUCUACAUCACAAUCUGGUCACUUGCUAGCCAGCACAGUGAAACCAAAUGCCACUCUGACAACCUUACAACCCAGAUACACCAGCCAUCCCACUCCUCUCACUGGCAGCUCUUCUGCUCCACCUGUUGGCAAUGCAUCUACAUUACAUGCAAGCACUGUAAAAUCUAUAGACACCUCUACAGACAGUUUGAGCACAACUCCAGAUCCAGCUACAAGAAGAAGAGAAAGAAUCACCACUGAUAUAACACAGAAAAACAUCACCACUGUUACAGCAACAAAAGCCUCAAAAAGCUCAGCAUACAUCGCUGUCCCAAUCGUGUUGCUGUUGCUCGUGUUGAUUGUGCUUUUAUACAGAAGACACCAGAACCAAAAAAAAAUGGAUUUGCCACCUCCAUUCAAACCUCCCCCACCACCAGUGAAAUACACAUCAGUGAGGAAUCAUGAUGUCCCUAUGACUGAUAUUCUAGUGUGAAUGUAUAAUGCUCUUGAGAACCCACAAACCGUGGGCCACAAAUAUGCUGACAGGAAGAUUUUUCCCUUAAGGCCUCACCCAAAAAUUUAAAUUGUUUAAUCCAUUAUAUUUCAUCAAUACUUUGACACUUUAAAAAGUUUAUAAAGACAUUGUAAAUGUUAGCAAUUAGAAUCUUGUUGUUGAAUUUAAAACGUCUUCUAAAGAGACAGAUUUAAUUUUAAAGCUUUUAUUAACAUAUAAAAACGUUGAUCAAAACUCAAGCCACAUCAAAUAUGUUUAAAAAAUGUGAUUUGAAGUUAAACGGAAGUCUAGUGGGUUUAGAAUUUUCAUAUUUGGGUGAAUUACCUCUUUAAUGUUUUAUUUUGUUAUAUUUUUUGUUAACAUGAGAUCCUUGUUUUAUGUGUUUUAUGUUAUUUCCUCUGUAGUUGUAUAUAAUAUCUGUUACUCUUGUAAAUAAUUUGGGUUUGUUGUUUUAGUAAGUUUUUAAAAUAAUUUUCAAAAAUGUGACUGAAUUUUUUUUUUUCAAACAUUGCUAUGCUUUACACACAUUAAAUCAAUUACAAAUACAUUACUUUGAAAUAGCUGAAAUAAUGGAACUACUAAAAGGGGUCAUAUGAUGCUGCUAAAAAGAACAUUAUUUUGUGUAUUUGGUGUAAUGAAAUGUGUUUAUGCGGUUUAAGGUUAAAAAAACUAAUUAUUUUCUACAUAAUGUACAUUAUUGUUUCUCCUCUAUGCCCCGCCUUUCUGAAACGCGUCCAUUUUUACAAAGCUCAUCAUUUUGAAAAGCUAGGUGUGCUCUGAUUAGCCAGCUAUCCAUUGUGUUGUGAUUUGCCGAAUACUUCAAGCAUGUGACAUAAAUGUUACACCCCCUAACAUACUGUGAUGCCGUGUGUCCCGGUGCGACGAGACAAAACCAUUAAACCCAUUAUAAACUAGGCAUUUGUUGUAUCCAGUGGGGACAUAAUUACUGAUUAUAAUGACUUAUACUAUCUUUUUAUGCGUUGCAUCGUCCCGCGUAAAAAUAAAACCAUGUCUGCAUUUGUGAUGGAAGAAACGGCAAACAACAACCGCUGCUCUACACUGCUCAAAACUCGCGUUUGAAUCAUCAAUGGCAAAUUCUUUAAAUAUGAAAACGUACUUACAGGCUGUGAGUCAGAACAACCGGCAUUGUAGUCUACUCUCCCAGGACUAGGAAACAGUCCUCCGUAAAAUGCGGUGCACAUACAUGAAUAUUUGUUUUGAACUAUUCUGGAACAGUGUUGUAAAUACAACUUAACCACUGAUUUCUAGUUGUGUCCUCUUUUGGAAGGCCAAACAAAGUAGUUUCGCUUUCGCAACGAAACACAGCGUCUUCAUGACAUGGCAGUGGCAGGGACAAUACUACAGCGAGAAUCAAAGUUAUGCCUUCUUUCUUUACGUGAACAUUUGGGUGGUGUUAUGCAAAUCUUCCCACACAGUGACGUAGACCUGUGGGGGCGUGUUUAAACAAGGUGUUUUAGGAAGGCAUGGACGAGUCUUAACUUUUAAAUAGAAUAUCUCUUUAGGUUUGAGACUUUAGUCUUUGCAACUUUAGGGAUCUUAUCUAUUUAUGAACAGCUUGUAACACUCCAAAGAGAAAAGAAAACUUGAAAUCGCAUCAUAUGACCCCUUUAAGCUGUGCAUUUCCCUGUAAAUAACUGCUAACAUUAGAACGUUCCUCAACCAGUUAGAUUUAAGCAUUAACAUAAUUACAAUUAAUAUUUACAAUCACAAGCGUUCAAGGUGCCAGGAAAAUAUAUUACUUUUUACUUGGUGGUUACACCACAUGACACAGUGAUAUAUUUUAAACUUUCCUUAACCUGUCUUGACCUAGACCUAGGUCUCUAUACAUAAGGACAUCAAAUUACACUACAGAUGACACUGGACAUUUCAGUACUCUGACUAUCACUUAUGAAAUUGAUUCAUCAGGAACAUAUGGAAUGCUUAUACAUUACAAUGCUUCUGCAACUGCUAACUUAUUUAGCUACCCUGUCAAUCCAUCUUAAUGAAUGAUGCUAUGAGGAACAUAAACAGGUGUACGCUGACCAAUGAGAGGACAGUUUUACUUACAUGUGACUCGCAAUACAUAGUACACUUUCAAAUAUUGGCGAGUAAAAGAGGACUGAAAAGAGAAGUGAACAAGAAGACAAUGCAGUGAUCUACAGUUCUGAAAACACCCCAAAAUGCUAUUUCAACACUUAAAUCAGAGACGCAAAUAUCAACGCAAAUUUACAGUCUUACUGUCUAAACGAGUCUUAGAGAAAGCUAUCAACCAGUAUUGUGCAACUUAGUUCAGAAGCAUGAGACAUCUGUGCCUUUAAAACCAUGAAUUAUGAACAAAACCGUGAAUGAUCUUAUACAUCAGGCAUGAAUAUUUUUUUAACUCAGCAGAUUAUACUUUUUCAAUAUUAAACAAUGAUGAAAAUGUACCAGUUUCUUGUCAAGAACUUUAUAUGUACAUUUGUAUAAGGACUCUAUUGGUUUUAGACUCAUUAAACUCGCCUGAGACCAGGUUGUUAAACAGUAAGUCAUGUGAGAAAUAACCAUAGAAUGUGUAUACAUCUUAGCUGACUCUAAUGACAUAUAAUCUCUUGUAAACCUAACAUUAUAGAGAUUGAACUUAACCUGCUUACAAACCUUUUUAAACUGAACUUUAAAUGUAAGUUUAGAAAAGAUCUUACUAUUAUCAGGUAAAUAAUUGCAGUAUCAUCCGCAUACAUUUGUAUAUUAAUGCCAGGACAUGCAAAAUGAAGUUCAUAUAUCGCAAAGAGCAGUGGUCCCAAAAUAGAUCGAGGAACACCAGUAGAUGUAACUGGAUCGGACUGAUUUUGUACUCUAAUAGGCCUGCACUGAACUAGAUCUGACAGAUAUAAUUCUAUCCAACUGUUUGUAUGUAAAGAGAAAUUAAAACUAGAUAACUUAGACAUAAGGAUUCUAUGAUUAACAGUGUCAAAUGCUUUCUUCAGCUCAAGGAACAUAGCUCCAACUACACCACCUUUAUCUAAAAGAGGUUUAGGUAUAAUGUUUAAUUUUCUAUUUAAAAAAAAAAAAAAAAAACGUGGCCACAGCUUGUCACAGAUACAUUGUGACAGGAAAUCGAGGAAGACAUGCUGAAUGCCAACACUCAAUCAAAAUAAGAUUAUAGUUACUCUUUAUAGGCACAAUAAACCGCUUUAACAGAUUUAAAUCAGUUCAUUGUGCUUAUAAAAAGUAUCAGGACCAACUCCAAUCUCUAGACAUAAGAGCAUCUCUCCAUUAAGUAUUCUCUGCUGUUGACUUGGGGAAAUAAAACCACAUAUACUGCACAUUUAAGCAAAAAACCAAGCAAUGUUGACUACAAUAGAGAAGUAGUGGUGUAACUCACUUCCUGUGCCUCUACUGCUGCCUAUGUUUGCUUCUUGCUCAUGUCAUUCUCUGUUAAGACUGUUGUUCUCACAGAUAUGGAUUUUUUGAUGACAGAGCUAGCUUAUAAACUUUUUAUCUUUUUAUAUAUGAUACAACAAGGUAAGAGGAUUUUGAUAUUUUUAUUUCUACCAUCAAAGAAAUGUUUACUGGCUUUUAAACUGAUCUGUGCUUUGAUUAGUCUUAGACGUGACACUCAAUUUUUUCCUAUUAAUUUUCACAAAAAUGCAUUCAAAAUUCAGAGAUAUAGAGACUUGAAUGCUCUCCUACUGUAUGAUGAUCAUGUAUGAUGAUCAAUUUAAAUUACAGACAAAAGAGUCAAUCCGUGUAAAAUCAAACAAAUUUCAGAAAAUUUGCUCAAAUUUUUAAUUUCGCUAAUAUUUUUCUGAAGAAAGAUAGAAGUGUGUAAUGCUGAAUGCCAAAAUAUUACAUGUCAUGGAUGAAUAUUUACAGAGUAAUUCACUAUGUUGUGUU
ensembl:lncRNA